UCAUUGCUUUAAUCUCUCAACACCUUCACAUUGCUAUUUCCUGUUGCCUUCUUUCUUUCUCCGCCCUUCGGAGUACUAUGGAGAAAAAGCUUGUCACAAUUAAAAGUACACAAGAUGUGGUAAUCCCGCCUAUGAGAUAUAUCUUCUGGUUUCGGUUGAUUCGAUUAUAAUGCCCAAAGAGAAAAAAUGCGUACAGCAACAACAAGAUGGGGGAUUGAAGAGUGGCCCAGAUGAGGAAAUUGUAGGCUUUGAUAACUGUGGAGGAAUGCAUGGCUCUUAUAUCUUUGGUUCCGUUCAAAAAUGCUAAGAGUAUUACAAAAGCCAUGGUUAUUUUCACACCCGAGAAAGCUAUGAUUCGCUUCAACUGGUCCCUAACUACUUUAAUUUUCUGUUCAUUUUCUCCUUCAUUGUCUUCUCCCUGUUGGUUUAUCUGCAGUUACGUCAAACAAGUAGUAAGUGUUUUGUAUAUACAUA